GUCUAUGGCCAUGCCACCCUGAAAAAGCUGGAUCCUGUCUGAUCUCGGAAGCUAAGCAGAGUCGGGCCUGGUUAGUACUUGGAUGGGAGACCACCUAGGAAGGCCAGGUGCUGUAGGCU
rnacentral:rRNA from 1 species